rnacentral:misc_RNA from 1 species
GAAGUGCGAUAAGCAAUGCGAAUUGCAGAACCGUGAGUCAUCAGAUUUUUGAACGCAACUGGCGCUAGUUGGCUAUCCAACUAGCAUGCUUGUUUCAGUGUCUUUUUAUUUCUUAACCGAAAUCAUAAUGCGAGAGAUAACCUUCUCUUGUUAAGCAUGAAAGCACUCUGCGCUCUGCGAGCGACUUCGGUCGCACUCAAUGCAGCAGUCACAUUGUUUACAGUGUGAACUCAUUGAGAGUAGAGGCAGCGCGGUUUUACUACUGCAAGUGCUUAGACAUUCAAACUUUUAUUGUAUCUGAAAUCAAGCAGGAUCACCCGCUGAACUUAA